UGGGGGAUAUUGCACAAUGGGGGAAACCCUGAUGCAGCGACGCCGCGUGGAGGAAGAAGGUUUUCGGAUUGUAAACUCCUGUCGUUAGGGACGAUAAUGACGGUACCUAACAAGAAAGCACCGGCUAACUACGUGCCAGCAGCCGCGGUAAAACGUAGGGUGCAAGCGUUGUCCGGAAUUACUGGGUGUAAAGGGAGCGCAGGCGGACCGGCAAGUUGGAAGUGAAAACUAUGGGCUCAACCCAUAAAUUGCUUUCAAAACUGCUGGCCUUGAGUAGUGCAGAGGUAGGUGGAAUUCCCGGUGUAGCGGUGGAAUGCGUAGAUAUCGGGAGGAACACCAGUGGCGAAGGCGACCUACUGGGCACCAACUGACGCUGAGGCUCGAAAGCAUGGGUAGCAAACAGGAUUAGAUACCCUGGUAGUCCAUGCCGUAAACGAUGAUUACUAGGUGUUGGAGGAUUGACCCCUUCAGUGCCGCAGUUAACACAAUAAGUAAUCCACCUGGGGAGUACGACCGCAAGGUUGAAACUCAAAGGAAUUGACGGGGGCCCGCACAAGCAGUGGAGUAUGUGGUUUAAUUCGAAGCAACGCGAAGAACCUUACCAGGUCUUGACAUCCGAUGCAUAGCUUAGAGAUAAGUGAAGUCCUUCGGGACAUCGAGACAGGUGGUGCAUGGUUGUCGUCAGCUCGUGUCGUGAGAUGUUGGGUUAAGUCCCGCAACGAGCGCAACCCUUAUUGCCAGUUACUACGCAAGAGGACUCUGGCGAGACUGCCGUUGACAAAACGGAGGAAGGUGGGGAUGACGUCAAAUCAUCAUGCCCUUUAUGACCUGGGCUACACACGUACUACAAUGGCGUUUAACAAAGAGAAGCAAGACCGCGAGGUGGAGCAAAACUCAAAAACAACGUCUCAGUUCAGAUUGCAGGCUGCAACUCGCCUGCAUGAAGUCGGAAUUGCUAGUAAUCGCGGAUCAGCAUGCCGCGGUGAAUACGUUCCC
rnacentral:rRNA from 2 species